rnacentral:rRNA from 1 species
UAAAGAAAGCGUAAUAGCUCACUGGUCGAGUCGGCCUGCGCGGAAGAUGUAACGGGGCUAAACCAUGCACCGAAGCUGCGGCAGCGACACUGUGUGUUGUUGGGUAGGGGAGAGUUCUGUAAGCCUGUGAAGGUGGCCUGUGAGGGUUGCUGGAGGUAUCAGAAGUGCGAAUGCUGACAUAAGUAACGAUAAAGCGGGUGAAAAGCCCGCUCGCCGGAAGACCAA